UACGGAGGGUGCAAGCGUUAAUCGGAAUUACUGGGUGUAAAGCGUGCGUAGGCGGUUCGUUAAGUCUGUUGUGAAAGCCCCGGGCUCAACCUGGGAAUGGCAAUGGAUACUGGCGAGCUAGAGUGUGUCAGAGGAUGGUGGAAUUCCCGGUGUAGCGGUGAAAUGCGUAGAGAUCGGGAGGAACAUCAGUGGCGAAGGCGGCCAUCGUGGGACAACACUGACGCUGAGGCACGAAAGCGUGGGGAGCAAACAGG
rnacentral:rRNA from 1 species